ACUAAGGAAAGUGUGUUGUGAAGAGUCUCGACGUGGCAGUUCUGAUUAUGUUGCCCAUCAACCACAGGAAAUGUAAUGACAAAGGUUGACAAGGAAUUAGUUGAGGUUCGACAAAAGGGUUAGUGCACGCUGCGGGGGUUAAUGCACGCUGCUGGGGUUCAAAAGAAGGUGGCGCGGGUCGUUCCACGCGGAGGCGCGAUUGGAACUGUUGAUGGCAUCGCCGCCAUAGCCGCCACAACUCUACUCAAUGAGCCUCUAUUUUAGAGCCUCAAAACCCUUCUUAACCCUCAAAGUGCGCUUCCUUGUGCCCUUGCCCUCUUCCUUUUCCUUCUGCACAAACGACGCCGUUGUGAACAACAACCGCUCGGUGGUGCUUUUCCGUGCCGCGGUUGCUGAGCCGGAGUUGCUGGUCCGGGUUCUGAACACGGUUAGAGACCGGCCCGUGGCUGCUCUCCGGUUCUUUCGAUGGGCCGAGGGCCAAACCGGGUUCAAGCAAUCUAAAUUGGCAUAUGCCGUUAUUCUCGACAUUCUCGCGCGGAACGGCUUGAUGCGGUCUGCAUAUUGCAUCAUGGAGAAGGAGGCAGUAAGAAUGGGCGACGUGGUGGAUGUUUUGAUGGACGGCAGGGUUUUUUCUUCCGAGGUAUCUGUUAAGCUUCUGGAUUUGUUGCUUUGGAUUUACUUGAAAAAGUCGAUGCUUGGGAUGUGGUGGUUGGUGUUUUAUAAGAUGAUUGCGAAGGGGUUGUUGCCCGAUGUGAAGAAUUGCAAUAGGGCUCUGAGAUUGCUUAAGGAUACCAACUUGGCGAGGGAGGUUUAUGAUGUGAUGAUGGAGUGUGGGAUUAAGCCUACAACUGUUACAUAUAAUACAAUGUUGGAUUCCUUUUGCAAGCAAAGGCAGGUUCAGCAAGCUCAGCAGCUUUUGCUUCAGAUGCAGAGGGUGGGGUGUUCGGCCAACGAAUUGACUUAUAAUAUUAUGGUCAAUGGUUUAUCACACAAGGGGGAGUUGGAGAAGGCCGAGGAACUAAUCAAGGAGAUGUUGAGAUUGGGACUCAAGGUUUCGGCUUACACAUACGAUCCUUUGAUUCGUGGCUACUGUGAGAACGGUAUGUUUGAUAAAGCCUAUAGGGUUGAGGAGGAGAUGAUGAGUAUAGGGGUUUUGCCUACGAUAGCGACCUACAAUACAAUCAUGUAUGGCUUUUGCAAGUGGGGAAGAGUGAGUGAUGCUAGGCAGUUGUUGUUAGAUGUAAUGGUUAAAAAGGAUCUGAUGCCGGACUUGAUUUCAUUCAACACUCUAAUUUACGGUUACUGCAGGUUGGGAAGUUUAGGGGAGGCUUUUCUAUUAUUUGUUGAGUUAAGAUACAGAAGUCUAGUUCCCAGUGUUGUGACCUAUAAUACGCUUAUUGAUGGUCUUUGCAGAUUUGGGGACUUGGAUGUGGCCAGGCGGAUAAAAGAUGAAAUGAUCAAACAUGGGCCUAAUCCUGAUGUAUUUACGUAUACAAUUCUUGUUAGAGGAUUUUGCAUGAUGGGGAACUUGCCAAUGGCUAAGGAAUUAUUUGAUGAGAUGCUGCAUAGAGGAUUGCAGCCAGAUCGUUUUGCAUACAUAACUCGAAUAGUAGGUGAGCUGAAGCUUGGUGACCCAUCUAAGGCUUUUGGUAUGCAGGAAGAAAUGAUUUCCAGAGGCUUUCCUCCUGAUUUGAUUACAUAUAAUGUCUUUAUCGAUGGGCUCCACAAGUUGGGAAAUUUGAAAGAAGCAAGUAAACUUGUGGAGAAAAUGCUCUACUACGAUGGAAUCGUUCCAGAUCAUGUAACUUAUACUAGCAUCAUCCACGCUCACUUGAUGGCUGGGCAUCUUAGGAAGGCUAGAGUGGUGUUCAAUAAGAUGUUGAGCAAAGGGAUAUUUCCAUCAGUUGUCACUUACACAGUUCUAAUUCAUUCAUAUGCAGUCAGGGGAAGGCUGGAACGAGCUAUUUUUGGCUUUAUUGAGAUGCAAGAGAAGGGUGUAUGUCCAAAUGUGAUCACCUACAAUGCUUUAAUCAAUGGACUUUGCAAGUUUGGCAUUCUCACACGGCUAAUGAGUAAAACACAUGCCUACAUUUGAAUGGCUUUUACCCUUUGAGGUUUAAAUUCUUUGGACUGAAUAAUGUAUAUUUUUCGAAUGUCAAGGCUGAAGAUGCUUAUGGUGUUCCUGAUGAUUAAGAUGGGCAGACGUUAACUUUUUAUGCGUCUUGACAUAGUAUAUCCUCAGACUAGGUAAUACUUGGGAGGAUUGGGGAAUUUGACAGUUAAGGUUCAAAGAUCUGUGACGCUGUGCUUGCAAGGCUAGAGGGCCCUUGUAGACUUGGUCAGAACAUUUACGACUUGAGCAUUGGAGCUGGUAUGUGUUACCCAUUAGUGGAACGUUUGUCUAUAAGAUAUCUUGUCCAAUUAGUAUUACAAUACUCAGAAGUCAAAAAGGAAACAGAAGAGACAUGACAUGGGGACAACCGAUGCGGAUUUUUUAUAUAAUAAAUACCUUUGCAUAGAUACUUUUAACCGUUUUCCAUAAGGAAUUGCACAUUUUUAAAGUCACAAAAGUCCCUAGUAUAUUGGGUUCCAUGGAUUGCUAAAGCUGAAUAUGAAGUUGAAAUUCCUGCUUCUUCCACUGCUUAGUAUUCUCUGAUGAAAUUUCUCUGCUGCCGUUGUCAUGGUGAUAAUAAAUCUUUGGCCAAGGGUUCGAUAGAUGUAGUCCAAGAUAUGUAAUUCUUUCCAUUGAGUUUUUCUGAUCUUACCGUGAGAGUUCCAAAGAAGGAGAACGCCUGUCCAAAAGGAGAAUAAAAGGGGGCUGAACACCAACAUACCACAAGACAAGGUUGAAUAUCUGAAAUGAGGGUUGAAAGGCAUGAGCCAUUGGAGGGUAGAGUAUAGAGAGGUGGCACAUGUGGGCGUGUGCCAAGGCUUUUGUUUCAAUAACCACUAGGGUUGUGCAUCAGUCGGCAAGCCACACCAGAUCUGGUGAUUGUCCAAGAUUCUGAUGGAUUGGAAGUGACAGACUGAGCAAGAUGGUGCCUGCUCUUUAUACCAUAUUCAGAACUAGGAGCUUUGUAGAAAAAUGAAUUUUAUAGAUACUAAACUGAUCUAUUAAUAUAGAAAAUGUGCAAUCUGAACUACAAAAGGUUGAUAUGAGAACCUACACCCUAGACCCUAUAUGAUUGACAGGGACAACAAGAGGACAACUUUAAAAGAUUUUGUAGAAGACAAGAUAAACUUUUUCUAACAUCCAUAUAGCACUAAUUUAAAUUUAUGAGUGAGUAAUUUAAUACAAUUGUAUGUUGUUGUUAAACCUAUGGUAGAGAGAAAUAUUAAGCUGAAACCGUGUCUUUCAGCAACUUGGGUGUUUUGUUAUAUUGAGAAAAAAAUAAUCAAUACUAUAUGAUGUGAAUUCAACAUGAUAGAAGA